rnacentral:lncRNA from 1 species
GGAGCCGGGAUUGGGCGGCUGGUUGGAGGCAGGGCCGGCGCGGGGGAGGCCCCACGGCUCCGCUGUUUUCGGAAGCAAAGGCAUUCAAGCCCCGACCCUGUCCUGGGCACCCUCGGACCUGCCUGAGGCCCGCGGCCCGGGGCCAGCCGUUCGCCAGACGCGCCGGGCAGGUGAAGCUCACCGUAGGCAUCGCACGUGCCUUGUGUGUGCUGCCGCGGUCUCCCUGCACCUUCAGAGCAAUCUUGUGAGGCAAACGACGUUAAACGUGUUUAGAGUAUGGAAAGCAAAUGCAAAAAAAAAAAAAAAAGAAUAAGGAUUUUGUUAAGCUCAUGCAGUCCAUAUGGGCACAGUUGAGACUUCACAGCUCGGAUCCCAGGUGAGACAUUGUCCUCCACCUCCCCGCUCGCCAGACUUUUGCAGUGUCGGCAUUCUGCAGUGCUACCCUGUACUUUUUAAACUUCCUCUUGUUUCCUCUUUUCAUCGUUUCUCCCUUCCCCAUACACUGUAAUGUGCUAGUCUUAGAAUAAAAACAAGCUUCCCCUAUCCCAUUCUGAAUUUUUCAAUGUAGCUAAUAAAGUCCAGCCGCUUGACCAUCCUAGAUGUCUUUUCAAACCAACGAGUUGAAAAAGAUCAGAUUAUCUCAGCCAUUCCCUCAGUCUCUUUAACAAAUAACGAUAAAGCAGACAGGAUUUAAAUGAGACUGCUGUAAGAGCACAACCCCAAUGCAUGCAAUUGACUCUUGAACUUCCAGAAAUAUUGCAAGAAAAAUACACACUUAUUUCAUUUCUGUUCCCUUGCUCUAAUGGCUUUGCAAAUACAUCCUCCUUAGAGAGCCUACCUCUCCACCUCUUCACUUGACCAGUUACUACUCAUCCUUCAAGAACACACCUUAGACGCCAUUGCCCAUUUUUCUGCAGCACUCAUGACAAACCUUCAUGCAAGAAUCUAAUGGCAAUCUCGCACCUCGCAUUUUCUCCUUAAGCCACUGCAAUAAGGCUUCGCUUCUCACCACUGGGGAACUGCUAAUGACUGCCAUAUUGCCAGAUCCAAUCAUGGCACUUCUGUUCUUACCAGCAACAUUCGUCACAGUUGCCCACGCCCUUCUUGAAACAUUUUCUCAUUUUCCUUCAUGAGGGCAUCUUGGCUGCUCCUUCCCAGGCCCCUCCUAGCUCCUGCUCCUCUAACCACUGGUUAGUGGAGCGUUCCAGACUCUCCUCGUCCUGUUCCUAUCCACUCACUCCAGGCGACUUUCCAUGCUGUGCUGCCGGCUCCUGCAGCCACAUCUCCAACCUGGACCUCAUUCCAGAACCUCAGGCUUGAGUAUCCAGUUGGUGUUGUCACAUACAUGGCUAAUCAGUGUGUCAAACCUAACAUGGCCAAAACAACUGAUUCCCCACACACACCCCCAAACAUGCUUCUCCCUAACCUUUCCCGUCUCAGUGAACGGCAGCACUGACUGCCCAGUGGCUUAAUAAAAAAAUCUAGGUGUACUCUCAGUUUUGCUUUUCCUCACCCUCAAGAUCCAAUCCAAUCUAUCAGCAAGUCAUGUUGCUUUGACCUUCGAAACACACCGCAAAUCCAUUCACUUCUCUCCAGCCCAACUCUUUCUGCAGUCUUUUCUUGCCUGAUGGAAUUGACUACUGAAAUUCCCCCUCCUCACACCGCUUCCAUUUUUGCCCCAGUGCAAUCCAUUCUAUGCACAGCACCCAGAGUGACCUUUUAAAAAUAGGAGCCAGAUGCCAGGCACUGUGGCUCACGCCUGUAAUUCCAGCACUUCGGGAGCCCAAAGAGGGUAGAUCACUUGACCAGCCGAGGCAACAUGGUGAAACCCCGUCUCUACUAAAAGUACAAAAAUUAGCUGGCCGUGGUGGUUUGCACCGCUAGUCCCAGCUACUCUGCAGGCUGAGACAGGAGGAUUGCUUGAGCCUGGGAGUCUGAAGUUGCAGUGAGUUGAGAUUGUACCACUGCACUGUAGCCUGGGUGACAGAGCAAGACUCUGUCUCAAAAAACAAACAAACAAAAAAACAUGGAAUCCAGUCAAGCCCCUUUUCUGCUUCAACCCUCCUUUCUAUAGCCUCGGCCUGACCACCUCACAGCCCAUCGCCCUCCUUUCUUGUUCUCUGUCCUCCAGAUACUUUGGCCUUUCAGUGUAUUUGAGUCAUAUGCUCCUCCUUCCUUUGGGCCCUUCACCCAUGCAGUUUUUCCACUGAAAAUGCUCUUCCUUCCUCCAAGUACUUUUCUCCUAUACAAAAUUCUAAUUUCAGCUUAACUAUCCCUUUCGUAGAGAAGCCUUCUCUGACCACUCCCUAGACAACUAGAUGGGCUCUCCGUGUGAAACACUGCCAUGGUGCUAGCUUAGAGUUUGUAAGGACAUGUUGACUUGAUGUCUUUUCACCAAAGGACUGACCACUCCAUGUGUUGUUUGGUACUUGCUGAAUGAAUGGAUUUGUCUGUAUUGCUGAGUGCCGCAUAUACCUUGAGGUCAGAGAAUGUGUCUUAUUAGUCCUUCAGUGCUUGGUACAUAGUAGACAAUUUUUUUAAAAGUUUGUUGAAUGAAGGGAUAGGAUGAGGAACACUCCAAAUAGUCUUUACUGUCUUACUGUAACUGCACUCCUAUCUCAUAUCUAAUGCUUCUCAUUUACUAGAAAAUAGUAGUACUAGGCUGGGUGCUGUGGCUCAUGCCUGUAAUCCCAACACUUUGGGAGGCCAAGGUGGGAGGAUCACUUGAGGCCAGGAGUUCCAGAUCAGCCUGGGCAAUACAGCAAGACCCCAUCUCUACAAAAAAUAUUUUUAUUAAAAAGAAAAUAGUAAUUGUGACAAUAAUAAUAGUAGUGUGUGCUGGGUAACAUUUUAAAGAUUUGAUGCAUAUUAUUAUUUUUACUCCUCAUGAUUACACUGUGAAGUUGGUAUGACUUAUUAUCCACAUUUUAAAGAUGAGACAUGGGAGGCUGAGGCAGGAGGACUGCUUGAGCCCAGGAGUUUGAGACCAGUCUGGGCAACACAGCAAGACCCCAUAUCACUUAAAAACAAAUGAGACAACUAGGACACAAACAGGUGAAGUAACUUAUGGUCACACAACCAGAAGUGACAAAGCUGGUAUUUGAGCUUGGGGAGCCCAGCCCAACAGCCUGUACACAUAACUGCUAAAAUCGAGUACAAGAAGUAAUGAUGUGGGUUUCAUCCCAUCGUAGAAUAAACUUCAUCUUGAAAUUGGAAGAGUGCUUCCGGUUCCCCUCCCACCCCCAGGCUGCGGCAGCCCCACACCAUUAUGUAUCUACCAUUUGUCAGCCUCUGUCUUCAGUAGCUGUUCCUUUUUUCCUAUUAGGUAUGGGGGAAACAGUUUUAUGCCAUAAAAAACAUACUUUAGAAAAGCAAGAUGAUGGAGAGGCUCUGAGGAAUUGCCAAGGCAGCCCAGCACUUGCUGCUGGCAGGAGUUCAAGCGGGCAGAAUCAGAUGAGAACAGCACUCAUUACUUCAUACGGACAUUGCCGGCCCAUGGGAUUCCUCCUUUGAAGAGGAAUCUUUGGAACUUGAACUGUCUCUUCCAGAAGAAUAGCCAGCAGCAGCCCAAAAAUAUGUUUCAUGACCAGAAUUUAUCACCCCGAUGUAAGACACUUGGGAAGAAUCUGUUUAGAUGUUUUGAAAGACAGAUGGUCGCCAUCGCCGCAGACCUGCGCAGACUGUUAUCCGUCUGGGCUUUGUGAUAUGCUCCCAACCCAGGGGCGCGUUAACAAACCAUAUAGGGAUACAGUAGAGCCACAGAAGAACAGGAAGAUCCAAACUGCUGGAAUGUGGAACGCAGAUAAGGCUCUAUAGACGGGCAGCAAGUUUUCUCUGGAAAAGGCCAGAUAGUAAAUCGUUUAGGUUUUGUAGAUCGAGUCAAAAUUGAGGAUAGUAUGUAGGUAUUUAUACAACAACCACAUUACAGCAUAAAAACCAUUCUUAGUUCAUGGAACAUACAAAAACAGGCAGCAGACUGAAUCUGGCUCAUAGCCUGGAGUUUGCCAAUGCCUGCCAUGCACUAUUAAUAAUAGUUAAUUUUUAUCUGAUGAUCAAGUGUACUUUACUUCUGGCCUGUGGAAAGAACUGCCAAGAGUCGGAGAUGUUUACACUCUGCAAGCUAAGAAAUUAGCCUGUCCCAGAUUCAUGGGUGUUAACAGAAGUCAAGAGAUUAUCGGCUCAGAGAUAAAACACAGCCUAUUACUCAGGAGCAACAGCGGUAGCAGGGGCCACAGUGUCUGCAGUUUUGCACAGGUUGCUGAACGCCAGUCCCCACCAAGGGAACUUGAAAAGGGAUGAUACCUGCAUCUUCAGUGGGUUGCAUUACAGGGGAGGAACUUUGAGCUUGGGAAAACCAAAAUAUUUCCCUGAGUCAUACUCAGCUAUUCAGCAGAAAUGCUUCCUGUGUACUUCCCAAUUUGUCACAGAGAAUGUUAGAAAGAUGUCUACUCAAAGGUCAAAAUUUAAUAAAACCAGUCAUUUUUACAGCUUCAUUAAAGACAUUCUUAAGAGAAGCGGGGGUUUGUUUUUGUUUCUGUUGUUCCAGUGCAGGUGUGUGAAAAACACAAUGACUGCUGGUACAGUGUGUACCAUGUCGUGGCUCUCUUGGGCACGGAGAGCUGAGCCCAUCACUGACUUUGCACCAUGAGGGCAGUGCUCAACACAGAGAAGAAGGUACAUGUCAUCCUGGCAUUGUGAGACAAAUAGUUUUGACUUCAAACAUCUCCAUACUGUAAGAACCACAGCUCUCAUCUUUUUUGUUCAGGGUACUUUAGGUUGCAGGUGAC